UAUAAAAUAGAAAAAGAAAGUGGCUGACGAAGCACUACAAGUGUGGUGUAUUAAUACAGUGCUAGGUUACUUUUAUUAAAGAAAAAGAGAGAACGAAUUAGAACAGUAGUUGGCUUGCUUACUUAUAAAUAUCGCGACAUGCA
rnacentral:ribozyme from 14 species